UGUUGGACUUCAAGGACAAGGUGGAC
rnacentral:piRNA from 1 species